rnacentral:rRNA from 1 species
UAACAAGGCGGGCUGGACACCCCCCGCUGGGCACUGCUUCACGGCGUGCGCGGCGGGGCCGGCCCUGCUGAAUUAUUCACCCGUGUCUUUUGCGUACUUCUUGUUUCCUGGGUGGGCUCGCCCGCCCUCAGGACCAACCACAAACCUUUUGCAAUAGCAAUCAGCGUCAGUAACAACGUAAUAAAUUACAACUUUCAACAACGGAUCUCUUGGUUCUGGCAUCGAUGAAGAACGCAGCGAAAUGCGAUACGUAGUGUGAAUUGCAGAAUUCAGUGAAUCAUCGAAUCUUUGAACGCACAUUGCGCCCUUUGGUAUUCCAAAGGGCAUGCCUGUUCGAGCGUCAUUUGUACCCUCAAGCUUUGCUUGGUGUUGGGCGUCUUUUGUCUCCAGUUCGCUGGAGACUCGCCUUAAAGUCAUUGGCAGCCGGCCUACUGGUUUCGGAGCGCAGCACAAGUCGCGCUCUUUGCCAGCCAAGGUCAGCGUCCAGCAAGCCUUUUUUUCAACCUUUGACCUCGGAUCAGGUAGGGAUACCCGCUGAACUUAAGCA